rnacentral:rRNA from 1 species
GACGAACGCUGGCGGCGUGCCUAACACAUGCAAGUCGAACGGUAAGGCCCUUCGGGGUACACGAGUGGCGAACGGGUGAGUAACACGUGGGUGAUCUGCCCUGCACUUCGGGAUAAGCCUGGGAAACUGGGUCUAAUACCGGAUAGGACCACUGCCUGCAUGGGUGGUGGUGGAAAGCUUUUGCGGUGUGGGAUGGGCCCGCGGCCUAUCAGCUUGUUGGUGGGGUGAUGGCCUACCAAGGCGACGACGGGUAGCCGGCCUGAGAGGGUGACCGGCCACACUGGGACUGAGAUACGGCCCAGACUCCUACGGGAGGCAGCAGUGGGGAAUAUUGCACAAUGGGCGCAAGCCUGAUGCAGCGACGCCGCGUGAGGGAUGACGGCCUCCGGGUUGUAAACCUCUUUCAGCACCGACGAAGCGCGAGUGACGGUAGGUGCAGAAGAAGGACCGGCCAACUACGUGCCAGCCGCCGCAGUAA